rnacentral:lncRNA from 1 species
GGGCAAGUCCAGGCGCCCUGACCGAGGGCUGCCGGGGUGUACAGCGUGUACCCGUGGGUAACCCGGGAGAAGGGGGCUGGUUCUGGGUAGGCGGGAAAGUCGUCUCCGGGCAUCCCCGGGUGGUUCUUCCUAAGAACAGCCACCCGGUGGGUGCAAUGCUCUUCCCUCCACCGCCCCUCCCCGAGUGGGGGCGACGGGCGGUCAGGUUACCGCACUAACGGGCCCUCCCCACCCCAAAGCAGAAGCCAACUCUCCCCAGCGGCAUCGGAUGGGACAGUCCCGCCCCCCAAACCUCAAAGCUGGUUCCCAGACCUCGGACUAAAUCCGCGACCCCAGGUCGGGGGCGCUGCGCUAGAUCGCGCGACUCCCACGGCUCGCCCCCUCCCCCCAGGAGCACGGGACCGGAGCGCGGAGGGUGAGAGGAAAGGGGCGCGCGAGGA